rnacentral:rRNA from 1 species
CCAGAUUAUGCUCCUCUUCAUAUUUUCGGUUGUGCAUGUUGGCCUAAUCUUCGUCCAUAUAACAACAGAAAACUCAUGUUUCGUUCCAAACAGUGUGUUUUUCUGGGUUAUAGUGCCCAACACAAGGGAGUCAAGUGUCUAGAUGUCUCAACUGGUCGUAUCUAUAUUUCUCGUGAUGUUAUCUUCGACGAAACCCAGUUUCCCUUUGCUAAACUUCAUCCAAAUGCUGGUGCUCUACUUCGCAAAGAGAUACUACUUUUACCUCCUCAUCUCACAAGCACCGGUAGUGGGGAAGUAAAUAAUUGUGAUGAUCAAUAUUUGCCUAACCCUCCUAAUUGUUUCCCUGAGUAUUCUGUUUCAUAA